ensembl:snRNA U6 U6 spliceosomal RNA
GUGGUUGCUUCAUCAGCACAUAUACUAAAAUUAGAAUGAUACAGAGAAGAUUAGUACAGCCCCUGCAUAAGGAUGACACGUAAAUUUGUGAAGUGUUCCAUAUUUCA